GUUUGAUAUCCGUUAGGGGGUUGUGUUUCGGCCACAAUUGUGAAGUAAUAUUUGUAUUUCUAUCAAAGG
rnacentral:tRNA from 1 species